AGUGAACGCUGGCGGUAGGCCUAACACAUGCAAGUCGAACGGUAGCACAGGAGAGCUUGCUCUCUGGGUGGCGAGUGGCGGACGGGUGAGGAAUACAUCGGAAUCUACUCUGUCGUGGGGGAUAACGUAGGGAAACUUACGCUAAUACCGCAUACGACCUACGGGUGAAAGCAGGGGAUCUUCGGACCUUGCGCGAUUGAAUGAGCCGAUGUCGGAUUAGCUAGUUGGCGGGGUAAAGGCCCACCAAGGCGACGAUCCGUAGCUGGUCUGAGAGGAUGCUCAGCCACACUGGAACUGAGACACGGUCCAGACUCCUACGGGAGGCAGCAGUGGGGAAUAUUGGACAAUGAGCGCAAGCCUGAUCCAGCCAUACCGCGUGGGUGAAGAAGGCCUUCGGGUUGUAAAGCCCUUUUGUUGGGAAGGAAAUCCAGCUGGCUAAUACCCGGUUGGGAUGACGGUACCCAAAGAAUAAGCACCGGCUAACUUCGUGCCAGCAGCCGCCGUAA
rnacentral:rRNA from 1 species